AGAGUUUGAUCAUGGCUCAGGACGAACGCUGGCGGCGCGCCUAACACAUGCAAGUCGAGCGAGAACCUGGGCUUCGGCCCAGGGGACAGCGGCGAACGGGUGAGUAACACGUGGAUAACCUGCCCUCGGCACCGGAAUAGCCCGGGGAAACCCGGAUUAAUGCCGGAUAGCCCCACAUCCCCUCGGGGAACGUGGGAAAAGGUAGCUUCGGCCUCUGGCCGAGGAUGGGUCCGCGGUGGAUUAGCUUGUUGGCGGGGUAAUGGCCCACCAAGGCGACGAUCCAUAGCUGGUCUGAGAGGACGAUCAGCCACACUGGGACUGAGACACGGCCCAGACUCCUACGGGAGGCAGCAGUGGGGAAUCUUGCGCAAUGGGCGAAAGCCUGACGCAGCGACGCCGCGUGCGGGAAGAAGGCCUUAGGGUUGUAAACCGCUUUCAGGAGGGACGAAGCUACUCGGGUGAAUAGCCCAGAGGGUGACGGUACCUCCAGAAGAAGCCCCGGCUAACUACGUGCCAGCAGCCGCGGUAAUACGUAGGGGGCAAGCGUUGUCCGGAUUCAUUGGGCGUAAAGAGCGUGUAGGCGGCCAGGUAGGUCGGUUGUGAAAACUGGAGGCUCAACCUUCAGAGGUCGACCGAAACCAUCUGGCUAGAGUCCGGGAGAGGAGAGUGGAAUUCCUGGUGUAGCGGUGAAAUGCGCAGAUAUCAGGAAGAACACCCGUGGCGAAAGCGGCUCUCUGGAACGGUACUGACGCUGAGACGCGAAAGCGUGGGGAGCGAACAGGAUUAGAUACCCUGGUAGUCCACGCCGUAAACGAUGGGCGCUAGGUGUGGGAGGUGUCGACUCCUUCCGUGCCGCAGCUAACGCAUUAAGCGCCCCGCCUGGGGGAGUACGGGCCGCAAGGCUAAAACUCAAAUGAAUUGACGG
rnacentral:rRNA from 1 species